rnacentral:rRNA from 1 species
UACGUAGGUGGCAAGCGUUGUCCGGAAUUAUUGGGCGUAAGGCGUCUGUAGGUGGCUUUUCAAGUCUGCCGUCAAAUCCCAGGGCUCAACCCUGGACAGGCGGUGGAAACUACCAAGCUGGAGUACGGUAGGGGCAGAGGGAAUUUCCGGUGGAGCGGUGAAAUGCAUUGAGAUCGGGAAGAACACCGACGGCGAAAGCACUCUGCUGGGCCGACACUGACACUGAGAGACGAAAGCUAGGGGAGCAAAUGGG